CCAGGGGGCCGGGCAGCCGCGUCAUCGCAAGAUGCCGAGGAAAGUCCGGGCUCCACGAAACAGGGUGGCGGGUAACGCCCGCCGGCCUUCGCGCAAGCGGGGGUCAGGGAAAGUGCCACAGAGAGCAGACCGCCUAUGCGUCGCAAGGCGCAGGCAAGGGUGAAAGGGUGCGGCAAGAGCGCACCGCGCGACCGGCAACGGAAGCGGCACGGCAAACCCCACCCGGAGCAAGACCGAAUAGGGACGGCGCGCCGGGCAACCGGCAGGCGUGUUUCGCGCCAAGGUCUUCGGACCUGCAAUGUCCGGGUUGGUUGCUGGAGCGGCACGGCAACGUGUCGCCGGCGGGACAGAACCCGGCUUACAGGCCCCCUGGCAUA
rnacentral:RNase_P_RNA from 2 species